UACGUGGGGGGCAAGCGUUGUUCGGAAUUACUGGGCGUAAAGGGCUCGUAGGCGGCCAACUAAGUCGGAUGUGAAAUCCCCAGGCUUAACCUGGGAACUGCAUCCGAUACUGGAUGGCUUGAAUUCGGGAGAGGGAUGCAGAAUUCCAGGUGUAGCGGUGAAAUGCGUAGAUAUCUGGAGGAAUACCGGUGGCGAAGGCGGCAUCCUGGACCGACAUUGACGCUGAGGAGCGAAAGCUAGGGGAGCAAACGGG
rnacentral:rRNA from 1 species